CCGAGUUGUCGCGGCCUAAAGGGGCCGAGGAAAGUCCGGGCAACGCAGAGCGCCAUACUUCCUAACGGGAAGGCACACGCAAGUGUGACAGAAAGUGCCACAGAAAAUAUACCGCCUGCAAAGGUAAGGGUGAAAUCGCGAGGUAAGAGCUCACGCCGCUGGCAGUGAUGCCGGUGAGGGCAAACCUUAUGGGUUGAAAGACCAAAUAAACCGGGGCUUGAGGGCUGCUCGUCCGACCCGGAGGGUGGGUUGAUUGAGGCCUGUGGCGACACAGGUCCAAGAUAAAUGACAACACAGAACAGAACCCGGCUUACGGGUUUUCCU
rnacentral:RNase_P_RNA from 1 species